CUGAGCUCCAAGGGCCGGCGCCGCGCGUGCCUGCGGUCCCAGCUGCUCGGGAGGCCCAGGCAGGAGAAUCGCGUGACCGGGAGUUCUGCGCUGCAGUGCGCUGUGCCGAUCCAGGUCCUCACUGAAGCCGGCAUCAGUAUGGUGGCCUCUGCCACCAGGCCGCCUAGGGAGGGGCGAGGCAGCCCCAGUUGGAAACGGAGCGCGUCAGUAGUGGCAUCGCGCCUGGGAAUAGCCUCUGCGCUCCAGCCGGGUCGACCUGCCGAGACUCCGCCUCUAAAACCAGCAAAUACCGGGAGGCUGAGGGACGAGGACCGCUGGAGCCCGGGAGGCGGAGGUUGCAGUGAGUAGCUGGGAUUACAGGCAGGCGCCACCACGCCCGGGUCCAUUAUUGGGCGAAGGUCACUGCAGACUCAGGGAGGCCCAGGAGCUCACCCCAACCAGCUUCUUUACCAGAGAUGGGGGUUGCUAUGUUUUCCAGGCUGGUUUUGAACUCCUAUCCUCAAGUGAUCCUCCCACCUCAGCCUCCCAAAGCACUGGGAUUAUAGAUGUGAGCCACCAAUCUUAGCCCAAAUUUUUAACUAAACUCAAUUAAACAAAUGAACAAACAGAAAAGACUCUCAAACCACACACUGUCGUCUCUCACCCAACAGAGACAAGACGUCUAUAAACCACCAAUCUGUUUAAAGAGACCACCAAAUGUUCAGACCAUGAAACUGAAAGAAUCAAAAUAAAGUUGUCACUAUGCCACCAACGGACAAAAGCCAGGAGCACACAACCAGGGGUCAUACUCACUGAAGGUCCCCCACCCUGAUGGCCAGUCAGGGGCGGCUUGCGGGUCUCAGAGAGGGCUCACCACCUGCUUGCAGUCAUUGGGGAUGGGAAGGUAAGUCCAACCCAUGCCAGGUCAAGGCACAAAGACUGUGGGGGGAAUGCACCAGACACAUAAAGAGAUGACUUUAUUCAGGCUACUGCUAUGGGAAGAAAACUCACUAAUGAGGAAGGAGGGGCCUGGUAAAUAAGAGACUCAUGUGGAAGGCUGGAGGCGGGGUCUUAGAAUGGACAAGGGCAAAGUGCUCCUUCUGGUCUCACUAUUUCUCAGAACGCAAAGGAAGAGGCAAUUUCUCAGUGAGCACCAUUUCCCUGGAACCCAGGGCUGAGAUGAAUUUCAGUACUGCCAGCGGCCUCCGCGUUCUCCUGUGUGUGUAGGAGUUUGUGUGUUCCAGUGUGCGUGUUCCCACUGUGUCUUGGUGUUUCUGUGUGCCUGGUGGCAUGUCUGUGUGUGUAUCUGCAGGGUGAAAGACCACAGAUACUAUCCGAAUUCCCGUGCUCAAGUGCGCCUCCUGCCUUGGCUUUCCUGAGUGUGGGGAUGACAGGCGUGAGCCACCACGCUGGGCCUCAUGAUCUGUUUCUAGUGCAGUGAGUGCAUCUUAGGGUGGGUGCCCGCCUCCAUGCUUAGUAGGGCAUGGAUGCUGUGUAUGCCAUCUGUCGGUAGGAUGGUUACACUUCUGUGUGUUGGCUGAUGUGUGUGUCUCAGUAUUUAGUCGGCUCUGGUGGCACAUGUGUGUGUUGCAGGUUGUAUAAGUUGCUGUUUCUCUGUGUCUGGUGGAAGGUGUCUAUGGUUGCAGAGUGAGGGUCUCUUGGUGUUUCUGUGUGUCAGAGGGUGUGUGUGUGUGUGUGUGUGUGUGUUUUGCAGGAUGAGGUGUGUUCUGUGAGUGUGAUGUGGGGGGUGCAGGGUGCAUAUCUGUGUCUACAUUUCUUUUUUUUCUUCUUCUUCUUUUUUUUGAGACAGAGUCUCGCUCUGUCGCCCAGGCUGGAGCGCAGUGAUGCGAUCUCCACUCACUGCAAACACUGCCUCCCAGGUUUAAGCAAUUCUCCCAGCUCAGCCUCCCAAGUAGCUGAGAUUACAGGCGCAUGCCACCACGC
rnacentral:lncRNA from 1 species